rnacentral:rRNA from 1 species
UACAGAGGUCUCAAGCGUUGUUCGGAUUCAUUGGGCGUAAAGGGUGCGUAGGCGGCGCGGUAAGUCGGGUGUGAAGUCUCGGAGCUUAACUCGGAAAGGUCAACUGAUACUGUGCGGCUAGAGUGCGGAAGGGGCAACUGGAAUUCUUGGUGUAGCGGUGAAAUGCGUAGAUAUCAAGAGGAACACCUGCGGCGAAGGCGGGUUGCUGGGCCGACACUGACGCUGAUGCGCGAAAGCUAGGGGAGCGAACGGG